GGGCCCUGGGCGGGGUCGAGCCCGGGGCUCGCCCCCCCCCGGGGGCCAAGGCGGGGUCGAGCCCGGGGCUCGCCCCCCCGGGGGGCCA
rnacentral:tRNA from 1 species